CACCCAGAAAUACCUGUGAAGGGGAUACCCUUAACUCAGAUGCAAAGUAACUAGCUGAAACAAUGACAUUACUUCUGUUUUUCCAAUUUGGCCAUACAAACAGGAUGUGCUACAUUCUCCAAGUCUGACCUGUUUGAUAGGAACAUACAGCAAGAAGAGUCCUGCUGAAUCAGAUCAAGAUUCCAUCAAGUCCAGCAUGCUGUUUCUGCAUGCCAACCAGAUACCUGUGAUAACCCCGCCAGCAGGACACGAGUGCUGUUAUUACCCAACAGCUGACCCUGAAGGAGACAUCCAUGUUUAUUCAAAAUAAAGAAUCCUAGAUUCUGGACUCCACAAAGAAGAAUAUGUCAGAAGACAAGAGGGUGAAACUGCAAUUAUGAUGAUUGAAUUGCCCAAGGGCAAUCCCUGUAUGAACUAGAUACAUUCCACUGUUAAUAAACACUGUAUAGUCUGUU